rnacentral:rRNA from 1 species
GACGAAUGCUGGCUGCGUGCUUAACACAUGCAAGUCGAACGGUGAAGGGGAGCUUGCUCCCCGGAUCAGUGGCGAACGGGUGAGUAACACGUGGGCAACCUGCCCCUCACUCUGGGAUAACUCCGGGAAACCGGGGCUAAUACCGGAUACGACCGGGAGCGACAUCGCUCCUGGUGGAAAGAACUUCGGUGAGGGAUGGGCCCGCGGCCUAUCAGCUAGUUGGUGGGGUAACGGCCCACCAAGGCGACGACGGGUAGCCGGCCUGAGAGGGCGACCGGCCACACUGGGACUGAGACACGGCCCAGACUCCUACGGGAGGCAGCAGUGGGGAAUAUUGCGCAAUGGGCGAAAGCCUGACGCAGCAACGCAGCGUGAGGGACGAAGGCCUUCGGGUUGUAAACCUCUUUCAGCGGGGACGAAGCGAAAGUGACGGUACCCGCAGAAGAAGCACCGGCUAACUACGUGCCAGCCGCCGCAGUAAGAC